rnacentral:rRNA from 1 species
UACGUAGGGGGCGAGCGUUGUCCGGAUUCAUUGGGCGUAAAGCGCGCGUAGGCGGCCCCGCAAGUCGGCCGUGAAAUCUCCGGGCUCAACUCGGAGGGGUCGGGCGAGACUGCGAGGCUCGAGGUGGGCAGAGGGCAGUGGAACUCCGGGUGUAGUGGUGGAAUGCGUAGAGAUCCGGAGGAACACCAGUGGCGAAGGCGGCUGCCUGGGCCUGGCCUGACGCUGAGGCGCGAAAGCGUGGGGAGCAAUCCGG